CAAGAGGGAAGUUUUGUAAAAGCAACAGGAAGAAUUGCUCAGAUACCCGUGAGCGUAUAUAACUUGGGUCGUGUUAUAAAUGCUCUGGCUAAACCUAUUGAUGGGAGAGGCGAAAUUAUAGCUUCUGAAUCUCUCUUAAUUGAAUCUCCUGCUCCAAGUAGAAUUUCUAGGCGUUCCAUAUAUGAACCUCUUCAAACAGGGCUUAUUGCUAUCGACUCGAUGAUCCCUAUAGGGCGCAGUCAGCGAGAGUUCAUUAUUGGGGACAGACAGAUUGGCAAAACAGCAGUAGCCACAGAUACAAUUCUCAAUCAAGAAGGGCAAGGUGUAAUAUGUGUUUAUGUAGCUAUCGGUCAAAGAGCAUCCUCCGUAGCUCAAGUAGUAACUACUUUCCAUGAGGAGGGGGCCAUGGAAUGCACUAUUGUAGUAGCUAAAAUGGCGGAUUCACCUGCUACAUUACAAUACCUCGCUCCUUAUACGGGAGCAGCCCUGGCUGAGUAUUUUAUGUACCACGAACGACAUACUUUAAUAAUUUAUGAUGAUCUCUCCAAACAGGCACAAGCUUAUCGCCAAAUGUCCCUUCUAUUAAGAAGACCUCCCGGCCAUGAGGCUUAUCCAGGGGAUGUUUUUUAUUAGCAUUCACGCCUUUUAUAAAGAGCCUCUAAAUGAAAUUCUCUUUUAGGCGAAGGAAGUAUGACCGCUUUACCAAUAGUUGAGACUCAGUCUGGAGAUGUUUCGACCUAUAUUCCUACUAAUGUAAUCUCCAUUACAGAUGGACAAAUAUUCUUAUCUACGGAUCUAUUCAAUGUCAGAAUUUGAACCGCUAUUAAUGUGGGUAUUUCUCCUUCCAGAGUAGGAUCCGCGGCUCAAAUUAGAGCCAUGAAAAAGGUAGCUGGCAAAUCCAAAUUGGAACUAGCUCAAUUCGCAGAGUUACAAGCCUUUGCACAAUUCGCCUCUGCUCUCAAUAAAACAAGUUAGAAUCAAUUGGCAAGGGGUCGACAGUUAAGGGAAUUGCUUAAACAAUCCCAGGAAAAUCCUCUCCCAAUGGAAGAGCAGAUAGCUACUAUUUAUACCGGAACAAGAGGAUAUCUUGAUUCGUUAGAAAUUGAACAGGUAAAGGAAUAG
rnacentral:rRNA from 1 species